rnacentral:rRNA from 1 species
CCUACGGGUGGCAGCAGUGGGGAAUAUUGGACAAUGGGCGAAAGCCUGAUCCAGCCAUGCCGCGUGUGUGAAGAAGGCCUUCGGGGUGUAAAGCACUUUCAGUGGGGAAGAAAGCCUUGGGGCUAAUACCCUCGAGGAAGGACAUCACCCACAGAAGAAGCACCGGCUAACUCCGUGCCAGCAGCCGCGGUAAUACGGAGGGUGCGAGCGUUAAUCGGAAUUACUGGGCGUAAAGCGCGCGUAGGCGGUCUGAUAAGCCGGUUGUGAAAGCCCCGGGCUCAACCUGGGAACGGCAUCCGGAACUGUCAGGCUAGAGUGCAGGAGAGGAAGGUAGAAUUCCCGGUGUAGCGGUGAAAUGCGUAGAGAUCGGGAGGAAUACCAGUGGCGAAGGCGGCCUUCUGGACUGACACUGACGCUGAGGUGCGAAAGCGUGGGUAGCAAACAGGAUUAGAUACCCUAGUAGUC